rnacentral:rRNA from 1 species
UACGUAGGGUGCAAGCGUUGUCCGGAAUUAUUGGGCGUAAAGAGCUCGUAGGCGGUUUGUCGCGUCUGCUGUGAAAACUCGGGGCUUAACUCCGGGCCUGCAGUGGGUACGGGCAGACUAGAGUGCGGUAGGGGAGACUGGAAUUCCUGGUGUAGCGGUGAAAUGCGUAGAGAUCGGGAAGAACACCCGUGGCGAAAGCGCUCUACUGGCCUGCAACUGACACUCAGGGACGAAAGCUAGGGGAGCGAAUGGG